GACGAACGCUGGCGGCGUGCUUAACACAUGCAAGUCGAACGGAAAGGCCCUGCUUUUGUGGGGUUCUCGAGUGGCGAACGGGUGAGUAACACGUGAGUAACCUGCCCUUGACUUUGGGAUAACUUCAGGAAACUGGGGCUAAUACCGGAUAGGAGCUCCUGCUGCAUGGUGGGGGUUGGAAAGUUUCGGCGGUUGGGGAUGGACUCGCGGCUUAUCAGCUUGUUGGUUGGGUAGUUGCUUACCAAGGCUUUGACGGGUAGCCGGCCUGAGAGGGUGACCGGCGACAAGACGCCUGAGAUAGGGCCCAGACGCCAACGGGAGGCAGCGGGGGGGAGUAUGGCACAGUGGGCGGAAGCCUGAUGAAGCAACGCCGCGUGUGGGAAGACGGCCUUCGGGUUAUAAACCGCUUUCGCUUGUGACGAAGCGUGAGUGACGGUAAUGGGUAAAGAAGCACCGGCUAACUACGUG
rnacentral:rRNA from 1 species